UACGAAGGGUGCAAACGUUGCUCGGAAUCAUUGGGCGUAAAGCGCACGUAGGCGGCUUCGUAAGUCGGAUGUGAAAUCCCUCGGCUCAACCGAGGACGUGCAUCCGAAACUGCGAGGCUUGAGUACAGAAGAGGAUCGCGGAAUUCCCGGUGUAGAGGUGAAAUUCGUAGAUAUCGGGAGGAACACCAGUGGCGAAGGCGGCGAUCUGGGCUGAUACUGACGCUGAGGUGCGAAAGCGUGGGGAGCAAACAGG
rnacentral:rRNA from 1 species